rnacentral:rRNA from 1 species
GACGAACGCUGGCGGCGUGCUUAACACAUGCAAGUCGACAUGAGUGGCGAAGGGGUGAGUAAUAGGGGGGUAACCUGCCCUACGGGGUGGGAUAAGGCAUGGAAACGGGGUCUAAUACUGAAUAGAGGUGGAUGGGAUGGGGGCCUAUCAGGUUGUUGGGGGGGUGAUGGCCUACCAAGGCGGUGACGGGGAGCCGGCCUGAGAGGGUGCCCUGCCACAGUGGGACUGGGAUACGGCCCAGACUCCUACGGGAGGCAGCAGUGGGCGAUAUUGCACAAUGGGCGAAAGCCUGAUGCAGCGACGCCGCGUGGGGGCUGCAGGCUUUCGGGUUGUAAACCUCUUUCGCUAUCGAACGGGUAGGUGGAGAAGAAGCGCCGGCUAACUACGUGCCAGCAGCCGCGGUAAUAC